rnacentral:rRNA from 1 species
GUGAGGAAUAUUGGUCAAUGGGCGAGAGCCUGAACCAGCCAAAUCGCGUGAAGGAUGAAGGUAUUAUGUAUUGUAAACUUCUUUUAUCGGGGAAUAAAGUGCGGGACGUGUCCCGUUUUGUAUGUACCCGAAGAAUAAGGAUCGGCUAACUCCGUGCCAGCAGCCGCGGUAAUACGGAGGAUCCAAGCGUUAUCCGGAUUUAUUGGGUUUAAAGGGUGCGUAGGCGGACUGUCAAGUCAGCGGUGAAAGUCCAUGGCUCAACCAUGGAAUUGCCGUUGAAACUGUCGGUCUUGAGUGUAGAUGAGGUAGGCGGAAUUCGUAGUGUAGCGGUGAAAUGCUUAGAUAUUACGAAGAACUCCAAUUGCGUAGGCAGCUUACCAGGCUACAACUGACGCUGAGGCACGAAGGUGCGGGGAUCAAACAGGAUUAGAUACCCUAGUAGUCC